GGGGGUAUAGCUCAGUGGCAGAGCAUUUGACUGCAGAUCAAGAGGUCCCUGGUUCAAAUCCCAGGUGCCCCCU